rfam:Bacillus koreensis strain DSM 16467 Contig2, whole genome shotgun sequence.
UGAAAAAACCAUAAAAUACCGUAGACAGUAGGUGCCUUAGGGCUUAAUUUCCUGCCGAGGUGUAUGAGAUAUAAAAGUGAAUUGUUUCAAUUCCUUUUCAUACCCCUAUGUCUACGCAGGCAUAGGGGUUUUUAUUGCACCUU